CGCCCGACGCCACGGCGCCCUUCCACGAAACCGGCGCGCCCCUCCGCACCGCCUGGUAAACAGGUGCGUGUGCCGGGCGUCGCCGGGUGGACCGGCGAAAUCGUGUCGCGUCGGCGACAAUGCACUUCCCCCCUAGUAGAAAAGCCGCGACCCGUCGGGUGCCAGGUCUCAGGGCCCGAGAUGGCAGCACGCUGCGUCCCGCCUUCGCAAGAGGGCAGGCGCGCGGACUCUCUGGGAACCCGGCCGGCUGCCCGACGGAAGAUUGAUCCGAGAGGAGUGAAUCCGCUCGUCGCCGACCCGGCGACGCAGCAAUGUGUCUUUGAAGCGUCCGAACGGGCGCCGACGGGCGAGGUGUGCCGGUCUUGGUGGUUCGCCACGAACCCGCCGCGCGAUCUCGCUCCCGUCGGUAGCCGCUGUUCUCGGACCGGACGAACUCCAGUCGGCGGCCAAAAGUUCGGGUGUUCUCCCGACCCGUCUUGAA
rnacentral:rRNA from 1 species